rnacentral:rRNA from 1 species
UACGAGGGGGGCGAGCGUUGUUCGGAAUUAUUGGGCGUAAAGGGUGCGUAGGCGGUUUUGUAAGUCUUAUGUGAAAUCUACAGGCUCAACUUGUAGUCUGCAUGAGAAACUGCAGGGCUUGAGUAUGGGAGAGGUGAGUGGAAUUCCUGGUGUAGCGGUGAAAUGCGCAGAUAUCAGGAGGAACACCGAUGGCGAAGGCAGGUCUCUGGGCAUUAACUGACGCUGAGGAGCGAAAGCAUGGGGAGCGAACAGG